GGACUACUAGCCUGAAUGAUGUCAGGUUUCCAACUUUAAAUGACUCAGAUGACUCGCUGGCCAUUUAAAUGCAACGGGCAUUUUUGUGCACCUGCUGUAUGCCAGACACUCUGUGAGGCUCCAGAGACAUGAGUAAAUCAGCCCCAGGUCCUACCCUGAAGGCACCCACUAUCUAGCAGGGGAGAUAAAACAUGCAGACUUAAUUUUAUCUAGAGGCCCCACAAGUAGAGAAAUAGGGAAAUGUUGGUGUGAUGCACCAAGAAAAGGAGAGGCAGGAAUGGGGACCUGGUCCUCCAUGGCCAUUCCCUUCCCUCCCCCUUCCUCCCAGAAGGCACGAACUCCGGUUCAAUAAGAGUGUAAGGAACUGUGUAGCCUUCCAGACUGCGUGACUUCUUAUGGUUCCCACAGGUGGCCAAAGCUGAGUAUGAGAUGAUUUCCAGCAUCUUCUCUGCCAAACUGUCAAAUGACUGCCACCGCCUUCUCCAUUGUCCUCUUACUCCUUUCCUGGACGCUUCCCCAACCUCUGGCUUUGGGUGCUCUUCUUCCCAGAUGGCCUCAACUGGUCCCCUCAAUGUUCUCCAUCCCUCGCAUCCAGGCUUGUUGUUCCCAGAUGACCUCUCAGCAAUGGCAGCCCUGAUUCCCGUGCUGUGGGCGCCAAGGUACGGAUUCCACACGGAGCUAUGAAUGGCCAAGAGACCCACUCAAGAACGCCUGCUUUGUAAGCGAGGGAAAGAAGAUCCAAACAACUCCUCAGCGGAUACUGGAAUGAUCGGGUUAGAGCGCUUCGCAAACUACCACGUGUACGGGCAAGUGGCACACAGGUUAGUUGAGGUGGCUUCACGGGCUGCUCCCCUAACGUUCUCACUAGCAUGUGAGCAGGUGACAAGGUGGCCCUGUGGACACCGGUGCUGGGGAGCUGGGGGGAGGGGGUGCCGGCUGGCCCUGAGGGGAUAUGCAGCGGGAGAAGGGGAUGCCACUGCCCCCAGUCUCUGGUAGGGGUCACCCUGAGCUUAGGGCACUCCAUCCCGGUGUGGUGCGCUUCCGGUGGGCUCUCUGUCCCCUGGGGUCCUGUGUCCUCGGAGGAAAGCCCUGAACCUCCCUGAGCAGCGGCUGAGAAGCAUGAGGGUCAGCGAUGUGACCCAGUUCCCUCUGCCCCAGGGACCGUGGGCAGAGUCCCCUCCAGGCCACAGAGCUCAGAACUGAAAGGCUGAGCCCACAGCUCUCUGGCUGCUCACCGACCGGCAGUCAUCACUUCCGCCCAGGGGCGCAACUGCAGGUCACAUUCGUGAUUUUAUUUACCAGGCUAACAAUCCUGAGAGCCAGGUAGGACAGAUUGCCUUUAACCCCAUUUUUUAAGAUGAUGAAAUGUCGCUAGCUUCACUGAUUCGUCCAAAGUCAUACAGUGGUUACAACACAAACUCGGAAUCUGGUCUCAGGGCCCUCAAGACACCACCCUGCCCUAGUGUUUCCACCAACAGGGAUUUCCCAUCCCUCUCCAGCUGAUCUUUCUCGUUACAUUUCUGGUAUAGAAAUGUCAGGUCAUCAUUCUCAGCUUAGGAUGCAUCACCAUUAUCAAGCUGUGCGAAGACCCUCUCUGGUGGUUUAAUUUCUUCCAUCUCGUCUUCCCGUCAUCCCCAAUUUGUAUUCCCACUCCUCCAGCCCCCGAAUUGCCACUCCCUCCAAUUUGGUUGGUUGGAUGAUUAGUUCGUUUGUUCGAUCAUUCAUUCAUUCAUUCAUUCAUUCAUUUGGAAGCUAGAGCCAGAUACAUUUCUGACCACUACUGUGUUUGUGAUGCUUUCAACAAGUGUUUCUUUUUUGGCAUUGUUGUGUCCAACUCAUGAACCCUAACUUCUGGUCCUUCUUCUGUUAUAUUCCUGUGAUUUAUAAGCUUUCCUCAUGCCCCACUCCUGCCAUCCUGAAAUAUAUAACUUGCUACUUGUACCUAUUUUAUUUGCUUUAUUCUUAUUGGCUUCUGAUUUGUUUUGUAUUACUCGGGACUCUAAUUCUCACUUUGGAGGUGUUUCCUGGCUGAGUUUGUAUGAUUGGCUUAGUAUUUACUGCACAUGCUUUUGACUCCUGCAUGCAAUGCAGUGACAGCAGUGUUCAGAAUCCGUCACUUAAGGUCAGUCCUCAACCAUCACCUGCAAGUCCAAGUUAACUCCUUUUAAGGCUGACAGUAAAUCAUUGACACUCUUGCUUUGAUCCUCUGUACAAGUUUUACAUAAUCUAAUAGUUGAAUGGUAGACCAGUGGUGUCCAAUGGAACAUUCCAUAAUAAUGGAAACGUUCUGUAUUUUUGUGCUGGUCAAUAUGGUAGCCACUAGCGACAUGUGGCUGUUGAGCAGCUGCAAUGUGGCUUGUGUGACAGAGGAGCUAAAUGUUAGGUUUAAUUAAUUUAAAAUAAAAUUGAAAUACCCUCAUGUGGCUAGUGGUUGCCCAUAGGAUGGUGCAGAUCUACUUUCUUUCUACCCACAACGUGAUCCCCAGACCAGCAGCAUUGCCGUCGCUCGGGAGCAUGUUAGAAGCAUGUGCAGAGUAUCAGGCACAUCUAGUUCUACUGAAUUAGAUCCGCAUGUCAGGAUCUCCAGGAGAUUUCUAUGCACCGUCAAGGCUCCCCCCACCAGAUUUAUUGAGAUAUAAUUGCCAGAACAACAUUGUGUCAGUUUAAGGUGUACGGGAGUAUUGAUUUGAUACCCAUACGUAUUGCAAAAUGAUUACCACCAUAGUGUUAGCUAAUAGCUCCCUCAUAUCGCAUAAUUACUGUCUUUUUUUUUUUUUUUUUUUUGCGGGGAAAACAUUUAAAUCUUACUCUCUCAGCAACUUCCAGGUAUAUAACCCAGUAUUAUUAACUAUAACCACCGUGCUUCAGAUUCCCCCACUCAUCUUGUGACUGGAAGCUUAUACUCUUUGACCAACAUUUCCCCAUUUCCCCCACCCUCCAGCCCCUGGUAAACACCAUUAGUCUAUUUCCAUGAGUUCGCUUUAGUAGAUUUCACAUAUAAGUGGUAUCGCCGGUGUUUGGCUUUCUCUCUCUGACUUGUUUCACUUAGCAUAAUGUGCUCAGGUUCCAUCUGUGUUGUCACAAAUGGCAGGAUGUCUUUCUUUCUCAUGGCUGAAUAAUAUUCCGUGGUGUGUGUGUGUAUGUAUGUGUGGGUGCACACGCACGUAUACAUGUAUUCAUAUCACAUCUUCUUUAUCCAGGUGCCCCAAAAUUGUACACUUUUAAAAUAUUUUCUAUUUUAACAUACUUUUCAUUGUUGAUGAAGAGAAAAUAUUAAUCUUUAUAAUAUUCUCUUUAUUCAGCAAACUGGCUGAGCUUUCGUAUUGGUACUAAUAAUUUGUUGCUUAUGUUCUGUUUUCAGUGUGGUCCGUCGUAGUUCUCUUUCCUUCCUCUAGUUCUUCUUUGUUCUGAUGAUACUGCUGUGGCUAAGCCUCCAGUACUGAGCGGGCAUCUGGGCUGGCAGGGAUGUGUCUAAACUUUCUCCAUAUACUGUAUUUGCUGUAGAUAAUAAAUAGCCUUCAUCAAGUUGAGAAAAUACACAUUUACUCCAGUUCUGUGAGGUAUUUUUUUUUAAUUCAAAGAUGUUCAUCAAAUGCUUUAAAUGCAUGAAAUGCAUGAAAUUUUUCUUCUUCAGUUCAUUAACGGUAAAGAUCGCCUUAAUAGUUUUUUUCCCCUCAUGUUAAAGUUUCCCCGUAUUCUAGAAUAAACCUUAAUUGGUCGUAACUCUUGAAAUACAUUGUGGGAUACAGUUAACUAAUAUUUUGUUUAUAAUUUUCAUAUCUAGAGUCAAAUAUGAAAUAGCCUGGUAGGUUUUUUUGGUUUGUUUUUACAAUCCUUAUCUGACUUUGUAAUAAAGGUUACACCAGUCUUAUAACAAAGGAGAAACCGAUUUCUAGUUUCUAGAACAAUUUAUAUAUCUCAUGUGAUUAUCUCCUCUUUAGAAGUGGGUGGAACUUUUCUGUAAAACCCUGUGAGCCUAGGGCUUUUCAGGAAGAGGGAGGUCUUUGAUUGUGUUGUAAUUCUUAACUGAGU
rnacentral:lncRNA from 1 species